GUACCAUUGUGAUGUCAUUGUGAUGCCUUUUUGACAUGUCAGCUUGGCUAGCCUGACCUAAAGUCCUCAGGAUGCCCUAUUCAAAUGUCUUCAGUUAGGUACAGCUAAAGGGGUCUGCUCUCAGGGGAGCUGGAGGGCAAAAAGGAAGCUGGUGGUCAUUUUGUAGCACGUACAAGUCUCUCCCAGUGACUCAACCACUAAUAUUGAUGCUGCUGUGAAGGGAGUGCACAGAUAUGAUUCAAGACCCUAAUCAGUUGACUUUGGUUUAAUCAGGAUGGAGAUUAUCCAGGGUAGGCCUGAUUUAAUCAGUUUGUUCUUGAAACUUCCUUCCUGACCACUCCCUCUACACUGGGAGUUUCAGCUCAUGAUUGUGGGUUCGGUCUGCUUGUAUUCUUCCUGAAUACCUGUCCUACAGACUUUAGAAUUUCUUAGCUAGCCUCAACAAUUGCAUGAGCCAACUUCAUGUAAUAAUUCCUAGAUGUACAUGGAGUGGCACAGCUUGGAUUUCAUCUUGUCAGAUCCUGGAAUUUCAGCACUGACAAGUGUAUUCCUAUCCUGUUCCUGUGAUCUAUUAUUUUCACCUAUCAAUUUGCCUUCAAAUUUCAAAAUGAGGUUGGACCUCCUGAGAUCCUACAGUGUACAGAGCCCCUCUGCCAACCCUCAGUGGACACUCGAUAUAACAGGGAAAACUAAACCUUUUCUUUAGGACAUUGGAAUGUUGGUGUUAUUUGUUACAUAGAAUGACCUAGCUCAUUCUAACCAACAGAUCUGGCAAGUUAUAGGUCAAGCUGCAUAAUUUAAAGCCUCCCCUGCAGGAGACUUCGCUUUGACAAGAGUAGAGGAAAAGAGUGGUGCUUAUAGACUCCCUAAGUUCCCAAAACUUUGAUUAAUAGAGAUGACUGACAUGACUCAGAGUUAAUGCUUCGAGUUAAUGCUCAGAGUUAAUUAGUCCAUUGCCAUUUGCAGUACAAAAGCCUACUUACACUUCUUAGUAAAGACAAUGACAAGCAAAAGAGAAGGAAGAAAGAUAGGGUGGGGGAAAUAAAUCGAUGUGAGGAAUUUUAAGGCUGAUUGCU
rnacentral:lncRNA from 1 species